CCUACGGGAGGCAGCAGUGGGGAAUUUUGGACAAUGGGCGCAAGCCUGAUCCAGCAAUGCCGCGUGAGUGAAGAAGGCCUUCGGGUUGUAAAGCUCUUUUGUCAGGGAAGAAACGGUAGGGGCUAAUAUCCUUUACUAAUGACGGUACCUGAAGAAUAAGCACCGGCUAACUACGUGCCAGCAGCCGCGGUAAUACGUAGGGUGCAAGCGUUAAUCGGAAUUACUGGGCGUAAAGCGUGCGCAGGCGGUUUUGUAAGUCUGUCGUGAAAGCCCCGGGCUCAACCUGGGAAUUGCGAUGGAGACUGCAAGGCUUGAAUCUGGCAGAGGGGGGUAGAAUUCCACGUGUAGCAGUGAAAUGCGUAGAGAUGUGGAGGAACACCGAUGGCGAAGGCAGCCCCCUGGGUCAAGAUUGACGCUCAUGCACGAAAGCGUGGGGAGCAAACAGGAUUAGAUACCCUGGUAGUCCACGCCCUAAACGAUGUCUACUAGUUGUCGGGUUUUAAUUAACUUGGUAACGCAGCUAACGCGUGAAGUAGACCGCCUGGGGAGUACGGUCGCAAGNUUAAAACCUAGAAGUAGUACGCGNGNGAGACGCGACGACGACGACGACGGAGGAGGAG
rnacentral:rRNA from 1 species